UGCACUAGAAAUUUCCCAGAAUUCUCUACGAAAAACCAGUGUGGAUCGAUGCUCACUCGAUCGGCGAAUAUUGCCCAGAAUGCACUGCAUUCAUACCAGAAUUCAUUGCGUGUCCCACAAUACACUGCGCUUGAAUUAUUCGAAGAUGGCGGACGGUUGCGCAAGAAAGAGGACUUAAAAAUGGACUGACGAGGAUAAGGAAAAUCUGUUCCAUCUGUGGAUGGCCUGUUUGUUAUCAGGCAAGCUCGUGCCGGAUGGGAAGUCAUGUGUGUCACAGUUGGAGCUGAAAGGAAAGCAGAGAUUUGUCCUCGCAGACGGACGCCACUUUACCCGUCCUACUGGUUCCUGCUGUGGCUCAACAUUUGUGGCUCCAAGCAGUCCCCUUCGCUGAUGCCUGAUUGUGCAGAACUGAACUGCAGGCAAUGAUUUUCAUUGCAAAGGUUGGUUUUACUUCCAGUGCCCCCAGAAAUAUUGCUCUCCUCCUCAUCUUCAUAAUGCCAAAUCCUCUCUCCACCACAGAGCAUGCCUUGGCGUGGUGCUGGUUGGAACGGGCCUGAACCACAUUCCUCAUGGGUCGCUCACAGUGGACCGUGGCAUGUCAAAGGCUCUGGGUACCACACCGUAAGAUGUGCCACACGCCAGCCAGGAAAGAAACACCAGGACCUCAGUCUCCUGUACCCCCCCCCAGAGUGUGAGGAACCCGAAGCUGCUCCACCAGAUGCUCAAUGGUCCUGCGGGUCAACCGAUCUGCGGUUCUGCCGGUCUGGUCUUGUGUCGGACUGACCGUCAGCGUGAAGGGCCACGACAGACACCUUUAUGUUGGCAAAGCAGUAGAGACGUGGAAGACCCUGU